GACGAACGCUGGCGGCGUGCCUAAUACAUGCAAGUAGAACGCUGAAGGAGGAGCUUGCUUCUCUGGAUGAGUUGCGAACGGGUGAGUAACGCGUAGGUAACCUGCCUGGUAGCGGGGGAUAACUAUUGGAAACGAUAGCUAAUACCGCAUAAGAGUAGAUGUUGCAUGACAUUUGCUUAAAAGGUGCAAUUGCAUCACUACCAGAUGGACCUGCGUUGUAUUAGCUAGUUGGUGGGGUAACGGCUCACCAAGGCGACGAUACAUAGCCGACCUGAGAGGGUGAUCGGCCACACUGGGACUGAGACACGGCCCAGACUACUACGGGAGGCAGCAGUAGGGAAGCUUCGGCAAUGGACGGAAGUCUGACCGAGCAACGCCGCGUGAGUGAAGAAGGUUUUCGGAUCGUAAAGCUCUGUUGUAAGAGAAGAACGAGUGUGAGAGUGGAAAGUUCACACUGUGACGGUAUCUUACCAGAAAGGGACGGCUAACUACGUG
rnacentral:rRNA from 1 species